UACAGAGGGUGCGAGCGUUAAUCGGAGUUACUGGGCGUAAAGGGCGCGUAGGCGGUUUGUUAAGUGAGAUGUGAAAUCCCUGGGCUUAACCUAGGAACUGCAUCUCAUACUGACGAGCUAGAGUAUUGUAGAGGGUAGUGGAAUUUCCGGUGUAGCGGUGAAAUGCGUAGAGAUCGGAAGGUACACCAGUGGCGAAGGCGGCUACCUGGACAAAUACUGACGCUGAGGCGCGAAAGCGUGGGGAGCAAACAGG
rnacentral:rRNA from 1 species